rnacentral:rRNA from 1 species
GGGUUGUGAGGUUAAGCGACUAAGCGUACACGGUGGAUGCCCCGCAGUCAGAGGCGAUGAAGGGCGUGCUAAUCUGCGAUAAGCGCCGGUAAGGUGAUAUGAACCGUUAUAACCGGCGAUACCCGAAUGGGGAAACCCAGUGUGAUUCGUCACACUAUCAUUAACUGAAUCCAUAGGUUAAUGAGGCGAACCGGGGGAACUGAAACAUCUAAGUACCCCGAGGAAAAGAAAUCAACCGAGAUUCCCCCAGUAGCGGCGAGCGAACGGGGAGGAGCCCAGAGCCUGAAUCAGCAUGUGUGUUAGUGGAAGCGUCUGGAAAGGCGCGCGAUACAGGGUGACAGCCCCGUACACAAAAGCGCAUGUGCUGUGAGCUCGAUGAGUAGGGCGGGACACGUGGUAUCCUGUCUGAAUAUGGGGGGACCAUCCUCCAAGGCUAAAUACUCCUGACUGACCGAUAGUGAACCAGUACCGUGAGGGAAAGGCGAAAAGAACCCCGGCGAGGGGAGUGAAAAAGAACCUGAAACCGUGUACGUACAAGCAGUGGGAGCCCCACCACUAAGCCAGUGGUGAACUCCACAUACGCAUCCUUUGCUGAGGAUACGGUUAACGGAGCGAAAGCGACGUUCAACCGCAAAAGAAGCAGAGGGGGCUUAGUGGUGGGGUGACUGCGUACCUUUUGUAUAAUGGGUCAGCGACUUAUAUUCUGUAGCAAGGUUAACCGUAUAGGGGAGCCGGAGGGAAACCGAGUCUUAAUUGGGCGUUAAGUUGCAGGGUAUAGACCCGAAACCCGGUGAUCUAGCCAUGGGCAGGUUGAAGGUUGGGUAACACUAACUGGAGGACCGAACCGACUAAUGUUGAAAAAUUAGCGGAUGACCUGUGGCUGGGGGUGAAAGGCCAAUCAAACCGGGAGAUAGCUGGUUCUCCCCGAAAGCUAUUUAGGUAGCGCCUCGUGAACUCAUCUCCGGGGGUAGAGCACUGUUUCGGCUAGGGGGCCAUCCCGGCUUACCAACCCGAUGCAAACUGCGAAUACCGGAGAAUGUUAUCACGGGAGACACACGGCGGGUGCUAACGUCCGUCGUGAAGAGGGAAACAACCCAGACCGCCAGCUAAGGUCCCAAAGUCAUGGUUAAGUGGGAAACGAUGUGGGAAGGCCCAGACAGCCAGGAUGUUGGCUUAGAAGCAGCCAUCAUUUAAAGAAAGCGUAAUAGCUCACUGGUCGAGUCGGCCUGCGCGGAAGAUGUAACGGGGCUAAACCAUGCACCGAAGCUGCGGCAGCGACACUGUGUGUUGUUGGGUAGGGGAGCGUUCUGUAAGCCUGUGAAGGUGUGUCGUGAGGCAUGCUGGAGGUAUCAGAAGUGCGAAUGCUGACAUAAGUAACGAUAAAGCGGGUGAAAAGCCCGCUCGCCGGAAGACCAAGGGUUCCUGUCCAACGUUAAUCGGGGCAGGGUGAGUCGACCCCUAAGGCGAGGCCGAAAGGCGUAGUCGAUGGGAAACGGGUUAAUAUUCCCGUACUUGGUGUUACUGCGAAGGGGGGACGGAGAAGGCUAUGUUGGCCGGGCGACGGUUGUCCCGGUUUAAGCGUGUAGGCUGGUUUUCCAGGCAAAUCCGGAAAAUCAAGGCUGAGGCGUGAUGACGAGGCACUACGGUGCUGAAGCAACAAAUGCCCUGCUUCCAGGAAAAGCCUCUAAGCAUCAGGUAACAUCAAAUCGUACCCCAAACCGACACAGGUGGUCAGGUAGAGAAUACCAAGGCGCUUGAGAGAACUCGGGUGAAGGAACUAGGCAAAAUGGUGCCGUAACUUCGGGAGAAGGCACGCUGACACGUAGGUGAAGUGAUUUACUCACGGAGCUGAAGUCAGUCGAAGAUACCAGCUGGCUGCAACUGUUUAUUAAAAACACAGCACUGUGCAAACACGAAAGUGGACGUAUACGGUGUGACGCCUGCCCGGUGCCGGAAGGUUAAUUGAUGGGGUCAGCGCAAGCGAAGCUCCUGAUCGAAGCCCCGGUAAACGGCGGCCGUAACUAUAACGGUCCUAAGGUAGCGAAAUUCCUUGUCGGGUAAGUUCCGACCUGCACGAAUGGCGUAAUGAUGGCCAGGCUGUCUCCACCCGAGACUCAGUGAAAUUGAACUCGCUGUGAAGAUGCAGUGUACCCGCGGCAAGACGGAAAGACCCCGUGAACCUUUACUAUAGCUUGACACUGAACAUUGAGCCUUGAUGUGUAGGAUAGGUGGGAGGCUUUGAAGUGUGGACGCCAGUCUGCAUGGAGCCGACCUUGAAAUACCACCCUUUAAUGUUUGAUGUUCUAACGUGGACCCGUUACCCGGGUUGCGGACAGUGUCUGGUGGGUAGUUUGACUGGGGCGGUCUCCUCCUAAAGAGUAACGGAGGAGCACGAAGGUUGGCUAAUCCUGGUCGGACAUCAGGAGGUUAGUGCAAUGGCAUAAGCCAGCUUGACUGCGAGCGUGACGGCGCGAGCAGGUGCGAAAGCAGGUCAUAGUGAUCCGGUGGUUCUGAAUGGAAGGGCCAUCGCUCAACGGAUAAAAGGUACUCCGGGGAUAACAGGCUGAUACCGCCCAAGAGUUCAUAUCGACGGCGGUGUUUGGCACCUCGAUGUCGGCUCAUCACAUCCUGGGGCUGAAGUAGGUCCCAAGGGUAUGGCUGUUCGCCAUUUAAAGUGGUACGCGAGCUGGGUUUAGAACGUCGUGAGACAGUUCGGUCCCUAUCUGCCGUGGGCGCUGGAGAACUGAGGGGGGCUGCUCCUAGUACGAGAGGACCGGAGUGGACGCAUCACUGGUGUUCGGGUUGUCAUGCCAAUGGCACUGCCCGGUAGCUAAAUGCGGAAGAGAUAAGUGCUGAAAGCAUCUAAGCACGAAACUUGCCCCGAGAUGAGUUCUCCCUGAGACUUAGAGUCUCCUGAAGGAACGUUGAAGACGACGACGUUGAUAGGCCGGGUGUGUAAGCGCAGCGAUGCGUUGAGCUAACCGGUACUAAUGAACCGUGAGGCUUAACCUUACAACGCCGAAG